UGAAACCGCGAAUGGCUCAUUAAAUCAGUUAUGGUUCAUUAGAUCGUACCGAAUUUUUACUUGGAUAACUGUGGCAAUUCUAGAGCUAAUACAUGCAAUCAAGCUUCGACCCUCGCGGGAACGAGCGCUUUUAUUAGAACAAGACCAAUACGGACUUCCUUCCGUUUCCGUUUCAUUUUCGCUUCCCCCUAACCGGGGACAGAGAGAAAAGCGGCGGUCGGUUCCGUCAACCCCAAUUGGUGACUCUGGAUAACGCAAAGCCGAUCGCACGGUCUCGCACCGGCGAUCAAUCUUUCAAAUGUCUGCCUUAUCAACUGUCGAUGGUAGGUUACGCGCCUACCAUGGUUGUAACGGGUAACGGGGAAUCAGGGUUCGAUUCCGGAGAGGGAGCCUGAGAAACGGCUACCACAUCCAAGGAAGGCAGCAGGCACGCAAAUUACCCAAUCUCAGAACGAGGAGGUAGUGACGAAAAAUAACAAUACGGGACUCUUCCGAGGCCCCGUAAUUGGAAUGAGCACACAUUAAAUCCUUUAACGAGGAUCAAUUGGAGGGCAAGUCUGGUGCCAGCAGCCGCGGUAAUUCCAGCUCCAAUAGCGUAUAUUAAAGUUGUUGCGGUUAAAAAGCUCGUAGUUGGAUCUCGGUGCCGGACCGGCGGUCCGCCCCUCGCGGGGCGGUCUCACUGCCGGCUUCGGCGCCAAACAAGCCGGCCCAUCCCUCGAUGCUCUUCGCCGAGUGUCCCGGGUGACCGGAACGUUUACUUUGAACAAAUUAGAGUGCUCCAAGCAGGCGUUCAAACUCGCCCGCAUAGCCCAGCAUGGAAUAAUGGAAUAGGACCUCGGUUCUAUUUUGUUGGUUUUUCUUUCGGAACCCGAGGUAAUGAUUAAUAGGGACGGACGGGGGCAUUCGUAUUGCGGCGCUAGAGGUGAAAUUCUUGGACCGUCGCAAGACGAACUACUGCGAAAGCAUUUGCCAAGAAUGUUUUCAUUAAUCAAGAACGAAAGUUAGAGGUUCGAAGGCGAUCAGAUACCGCCCUAGUUCUAACCAUAAACGAUGCCGACCAGCGAUCCGCCGGAGUUCCUCCGAUGACUCGGCGGGCAGCUUCCGGGAAACCAAAGUUUUUGGGUUCCGGGGGAAGUAUGGUUGCAAAGCUGAAACUUAAAGGAAUUGACGGAAGGGCACCACCAGGAGUGGAGCCUGCGGCUUAAUUUGACUCAACACGGGAAAACUCACCCGGCCCGGACACUGGAAGGAUUGACAGAUUGAGAGCUCUUUCUUGAUUCAGUGGGUGGUGGUGCAUGGCCGUUCUUAGUUGGUGGAGCGAUUUGUCUGGUUAAUUCCGAUAACGAACGAGACUCUGGCCUAUUAAAUAGACGACCGAUCCCGGGGUGCCGGUGCUACCGUCUUGCUUCCGCCUCGGUCCGGCGCUUUCUCUCCGCUCGAGGCAGUGCGUGCCGCGCGCGAACUGUGUUCGCGGGUCGUGUACGGUCGGCUUCCCGGUUCCCUCACUCUCUGCUUCUCUCGUGUGUUGUGCCGUCUCGCACUCUCCGUCUUCUCGUGGCGUCCCGUCUCGUGCGGGGCGUCGUGGUUGCCGGUCUGUGUCGAACGUGCGCGUGCGGGGGAUAGCUUUGCGAGGAGGUCUGGGCGUCGACACGACGAAAGCCCGUGGCGCAGCCGCUCUACGCGGUCGUGCUUCGCCAAAGGCGGGGUCGGCUCGGGCUCGAGCGGUUGUCUACAGCGCGGCUCAGCACCCGGCGUUGCCUCUGUCGGUCGAUCAAUGCUUCUUAAGGGGACAAGCGGCGCUCAGCCGCACGAGAUUGAGCAAUAACAGGUCUGUGAUGCCCUUAGAUGUCCGGGGCCGCACGCGCGCUACACUGAAAGAAUCAACGUGUUUGCUAUCCUGGUCCGGAAGGUCCGGGAAACCCGUUGAACCUCUUUCGUGAUAGGGAUCGGGGCUUGAAACUGUCCCCCGCGAACGAGGAAUUCCCAGUAAACGCGAGUCAUAAGCUCGCGUUGAUUACGUCCCUGCCCUUUGUACACACCGCCCGUCGCUACUACCGAUUGAAUGAUUUAGUGAGGUCUUCGGACUGGCAGUCUCUGCGGCCCUCGGGUCGCGGCGGCCCGUCGGGAAGA
rnacentral:rRNA from 1 species